AGGAGUGAAGCUGCUGUGUGGUUUUCUGGAGAGUCCACACUGCAGACUGGAGACUCUGAGAUUGUGGCGCUGCAGUUUCUCAAAGAUCAGCUGUGCUUCUCUGGCCUCAGCUCUGAAGUCCAACCCCUCCCAUCUGAGAGAGCUGCAGCUGAG